GUUCUCUGCAGACUUUGGCAGCACAUAUACUAAAAUUGUAACAAUGUGAAGAUUAGCAUGGUCCCUGAAUAAGAAUAAAUGCAAAUUUGUGAAGCAUUCCACAUUUUU
ensembl:snRNA U6 U6 spliceosomal RNA